UAUACAAUUGCCGCAUGCUUUCUAAUUUGAUUUCCAUGUGGUUGUGAUACGCUGGUAAAGGUAAACUAGCUUGAGGGUUAGUAUACUCAAAGGAGAAGAGCAGGUUAUAUUAUUAGCUCUGCUUACCAGGGCGUUUUGGCUUUCUUUUGUUUUUAAAAUCAAGACUUUCUCUUAUUUCAUACCUCCGUGGGAGUAUAGUUGCUUAGUAACCCUGCACUGACUGGGGGCUGUUGCUCUCGGAGCUAUACCCGGGAGGAACCUGCGUGUGAAUGAGACCGCUGUCAGCAAGCCUACACUCAGAGGAUUUACCCGGUGCAGAGAGCUCCAAGAGAACACCAGAGCCCCUGGUAUUCUGGUUCACUUGAAUUUGUCCUCCUGCCUAUUCCAUAUUUUUUUCACACAUACAAUCAUUUGUUUGCAGUCUGGAAAUAUAAAACCAUUCAAGAAAUGGAGGCCCAACUAUUGGCUUCCCGAUUAUUCUACAAACUCUAUGAAAUCCUUGUUCUUCGUUGCACAAUUAGCUGUGAAACAGACAGAGGUUACCUACAAUAAGGCUCUGUAACCCCUAUUGGAUCAAUUUACACGUGGUGUGGAAGAGGAGAACGAGUGGAAUGCUGCCAUAAUCAGUCUUGGGUGACCAGAGAGGAAGGAAUGGUCACCAACUUGAACAGACCCUUCUUGCUCUGUCCCAAGGACAAAGAAGAUGGCUGGUGCGUUCCCCUCUGUGAAGAAUUUGCUGGCAUUUGAAAGAAAUGGUCAGUAGAAGAUUCACUGGAUGGUGAAAUUCUUUGUGCCUGGGAUGUGUUCAGUCUGUUAUUCUGUUGCACCAGGAAAGAAGACCCAGGGUCUUAUUUCAUUCUGGAGCUUUUUGAAACUUUUUACUCUGUACUUUAAUUUUGGCAACCUUGGACUGAUGGGGUUUGUAGAUAUUAAUUAUCAAAUUGUUAUGUAUUAGCUGAUAUUCUUUCAAUUCAAUAAGUAUUUUAAAUCCUUUGUGGUGUCCAUUGAAUAUGUUACCAGGAAACUGAAAUAAUAUUUUCAGUCUUCCUCUUUUUUCUCCACAAAAUAGAAACAAGAAAACUAUACAUAGCUGAUAGUUAUUUUCUCUCAGAAAUUCAUAUAUAUUAUUUUUAAGGGCUUCUGUAAAUAUUUGAACUGAAUGCAAUUUAAAAAAUAAAAAUCUAAAGACCAAUACAAUUUUAUCUCAUAAGAUUUUUAUUUUUGACCUUUAAGUCAAGAAUUAGUAUCUCCAUAUUAGCGGCAAAUGGAUUUAGUUACCUAUAUCUGAUUCCAUGUUAAUGAUAUUAAACCCAACAUAGAAAUAUUGCAAUUGUGGGUGUGGUUUUUACCUAAGUAUUCCCAGGAGCAUUUGGGACCAGGCAGAAUAUGGAAAUGUUAAUGGUUACAGCUCAAGUGCUAAAGGUGAGCCUAUAAUUAACUAAAUCAAAGUUCAGUGAAAUAAACUCAAGAUAUUUAUGGAUGUUAAUUAGUGACCCUAAUGGAUCCACUUUACUUACUUGCAGGAUAAUUGGAGUAUAGCAGUGUAAGGAGAGGUUUCAGUAGAAAGAAGCAACCUACUGUUAAAUACCAGUUGUUUACUUUGCUAAUGGUUAAACACUGCUCUAACAUAAAGGCAAAAAAAUAUUUGCUGUGUUUUCAUUUUUUCUGUUUAGGCUUAAAGGAAAUGUAAGUAGCUGUAGUAUUGUGAUAGAGGAGACACCUAAAGUCAUCAGUUUUAGGUAAAAGGCUAGUGAAGCUACUCCUGAAACUUUGCCUUGGAGGGGCUACAAAUUACUAUUAUCCUUCUGAUUCCAGUUGUGUGUAUUAUAAGUUUAUUUUCUGCAACUUCGAGGACUUGAAAUUUUCCUUAAUGCAUUUGUUCAACUUCUUUCCAAGAAAAUUAUGCUAUUAAUUACUCAGAUCUUUAUUUGUAUUUAACUUAUUAAAUAUAUGUGUUAGGAAUUGCUUAGUAGAGUAUUAUUUAUGGUUACAUAAGAAAAACACUGCUAAUAAAUAUAACUAGGAAAGAGAGAAGGCUGCUGGGAUUCAUCAUAUACAGCAUAUAGUCAAGGUAUUGUAAAAGUAGUCAUUUAUCAUAUGUGACUGUAUUUACAUUUUUAAUAUUUGUAUUGUCCAGAAGGAUUUUCUUGCAAAAGAGUGGUAAAAGAGGCCAAUAAUCAUUAAUAUAACUAGAUAAGUUCCUUGCAGAAAGGCAGAAAAAUGCUUGAGAAACAUCAUAUGCUAAAUUUUCUAGGAAUUGUAGAUAGCUGUGGAUAGCUGGGUUUCAGCCAAUUUUUGACAGAAUAUAAAUAAUUUGAUAUAUAUGGAAGAAACUUUGGAAAAGUUCAGAUGAGCUUUUCCUUGGAGACGUGACUGCACAAAGCUGUGGUGCUGAUUAUAGUUCAUUCAGUGAAAACAGAUCCCCCCUUCCCAGCUUUAUACUCCAGUAGUAAUUACAUGGGCUCCCAGAAUGGGGCUAAAAACGAGGCCUCUUUUUAUACAGUAACUUAGCUGUCACAUCUGUGGCAGAGAAUAGAGAAAAUCAUUGAUGCGAGUCUGUAACAGGGUUCAAACACUUUUCAGGUUCACCAGUGUUUUUAUUUUCCAAUAGAAUUUCGUUUGACUCCUGCCUACACUUCUAUUGUUAUCUCUCACUUCUGCUAGCCUCAGCCUGCUUUCUACAUAUACUCCACUCAAAAGAUGCUGGAGCUAUUCUGAAACGCGUUUAUACAAUUAUUCACUGACCACAUCUGUGUCUACACAUGCAGUAUGAAGUAAAGAUUUCUCUCAAUUAUAUUCAGACUCUAACAAAAUGGCAAAUUAGUUUGUUAGAAUAACCACUUAAUAACUUCGUUCUGCUCGUAUGUGUGAAUUUAAGUGCAAAUAAAAUUGAUGCCUGAGAAACGUUUUGUGGAAGGAACAUUUUGUGGGAGAUGAUUGCCAGGAAGGAUUACUUAAGUGUUUCCCAGCAUUUAUACAUUAAACGCACAGAUGCUGGAUUCUGA